CUAGAAGAGGCAGCAUCACAAGUUGGCGUAGAUUCCUCGUCGUGAUCAGCACCUAAGGAUACGUCCUCCUCGCUGCUAGAAGAACUAGCUGCAACCGUCUUCUGACGACGUGCUGUAAAUUUCAUUCUACGCAUCUACACAAAUGUAUACGAAUAAUUACAUAAUUAACUUCGAUUAUUUAAAAAAAAAUUCGACAGAGUCUCCCCUGUACUUGGGGGUCCCAAGUUGUCGACAAAAUCAUAUUACACUUCCAAUUUUAUUUCACAUCCCGAUCCAAUCAUCCUAGAUCUCAACCCUGCUCAUCAUCAUCAACACAACAUUUUAUUCAAUAACAUCAUAUAGAAUUACAACUAUGAACAUUCAUUGUUAAAUUGGUACUUAGAGUUACAAACAUUAUAUUAAAGUCAUACAUUCAAAUUUACGGAUUAAUAUUACAUUUUUAACAUAAAUUCAACAAUAACAAUUAUAGCAAUACAAACAAUAAUAUCCUAAAUUAAGAUAAACUAAUUAAAUGUAAUUCUAUAUAUAUAAAUUAACAUUUUUAAAAUAAAUCAACAAUAACAAUUAUAUAUAUAAAUUAACAUUUUUAACAUAAAUUCAACAAUAACAAUUAUAGCAAUACAAACAAUAAUAUCCUAAAUUAAGAUAAACUAAUUAAAUGUAAUUCUAUAUAUAUAAAUUAACAUUUUUAACAUAAAUUCAACAAUAACAAUUAUAUAUAUAAAUUAACAUUUUUAACAUAAAUUCAAGAAUAACAAUUAUAGCAAUACAAACAAUAAUAUCCUAAAUUAAGAUAAACUAAUUAAAUGUAAUUCUAUAUAUAUAAAUUAACAUUUUUAACAUAAAUUCAACAAUAACAAUUAUAGCAAUACAAACAAUAAUAUCAUAAAAUUAAUAAAUAAAACUAAAAAACUAAAAAACACUACACAACACACAACAUAAACACAAAACAAACAAUACACAAAACUAAAAAACACUAUAUCAAUUCAAAAUAAAUUUGGGAAUAAAAAAUGCUUACCUUAAUAGUGUGUUGAAUUUAAGAUUUUAUCUACAAAAAAUACACAAAACAAAGAACACCAAAAAA
rnacentral:lncRNA from 1 species